rnacentral:sRNA from 1 species
UUUUAUUUUAUUUUUUUUUUUUUGAGACGAAGUUUCGCUCUUGUUGCCCAGGCUGGAGUGCAGUGGCACGAUCUCAGCUCACUGCAACUUCCACCUCCUGGGUUCGAGCGAUUCUCCUGCCUCAGCCUCCUGAGUAGCUGGGAUUACAAGUGUCCGCCACCACCCCUGGCUAAUUUUUUGCAUUUUUAGUAGAGGCGGGGUUUCACUACGUUGGCCAUGGCUGGUCUUGAACUCCUGACCUCAGGUGAUCCACCCGACUCGGCCUCCCAAAGUGCUCGGAUUACAGGCAUGAGCCCCCAUGCCCAGCCCCCAGUCCCAUCUUAUUACCCAGGUGCCCACCCCAUUACCCGCCACCAGGUGCUCCCCCUCCAACACUGUCCAGUCUCUGAAGAACCUGCAGACACACAGAGUCCCUCGACUGCUUCCCCUGCAGUCCUCCCUCUGGCCUCUUCUGGCUCCCGCCUUGCUCUGCUCAGUUCCCUCCUCCAAGGCCUCCCAGGAGGCUGGCCUGGCCCUCACUAGCCCAGCCCCCCGGGGUGUGAUGGGCAGGGCUCUGGCAUCAGGACCCCCCUCCCUCCAGAGUCACCACCAUGUCUUUUCUCUGGCCUGUGUACCCCCCAGAGGCCUGUGGCCCCGACGCCACCUGUGUGAACCGGCCUGACGGUCGAGGCUACACCUGCCGCUGCCACCUGGGCCGCUCGGGGUUGCGGUGUGAGGAAGGUGAGUGGAGCCAGGUCUGAGACCCCCAGGGUCCUAGUGUCAGCUGGGGAGGCUGGGUGGGGCACUCUGAGGCCAUGAUGGGCCCUACGGAUGAUAAAACGAUUCCCAAGCCGGAGGAUCUGGAAGUCACCUGGCCACGAGUCUGCCCAGCCUGAGCCCCUUAGUGAGUGAGGGCCCCCAAAGAGGACCCCUGUCAUAUUGGAGCUCCUCCCAGCCCAGUGUGCAAGGGCAGGGGGGCUUCUGUGCCACUGCAGCUGGUGCCAACUGGUCCUGAGCCUCUGGGCCUGGAGAGUGAGGCAGGCAAGGGUCCCAGAGGAAGGCAGAGUAGCUGGACCCCACCCGAGGGUCCAGGAUCCCCACUGCCUCAGCUGAGCUGUGGCUGCUGCAGGUGUGACAGUGACCACCCCCUCGCUGUCGGGUGCUGGCUCCUACCUGGCGCUGCCCGCCCUCACCAACACACACCACGAGCUACGCCUGGACGUGGAGUUCAAGCCACUCGACCCUGACGGGGUCCUGCUGUUCAGCGGGGGGAAGAGCGGGCCUGUGGAGGACUUCGUGUCCCUGGCGAUGGUGGGCGGCCACCUGGAGUUCCGCUACGAGUUGGGGUCAGGGCUGGCCGUUCUGCGGAGCACGGAGCCGCUGGCCCUGGGCCGCUGGCACCGCGUGUCUGCAGAGCGUCUCAACAAGGAUGGCAGCCUGCAGGUGAAUGGUGGACGCCCCGUGCUGCGCUCCUCACCCGGCAAGAGCCAGGGCCUCAACCUGCACACCUUGCUCUACCUGGGGGGUGUGGAGCCUUCCGUGCCACUGUCCCCGGCCACCAACAUGAGCGCUCACUUCCGUGGGUGUGUGGGCGAGGUGUCAGUGAAUGGCAAACGGCUAGACCUCACCUACAGUUUCCUAGGCAGCCAGGGCAUCGGGCAGUGCUAUGACAGCUCCCCAUGUGAGCGCCAGCCAUGCCAACAUGGUGCCACGUGCAUGCCUGCUGGCGAGUAUGAGUUCCAGUGCCUGUGUCGAGAUGGAUUCAAAGGAGACCUGUGUGAGCACGAGGAGAACCCCUGCCAGCUCCGUGAACCCUGUCUGCAUGGGGGCACCUGCCAGGGCACCCGCUGCCUCUGCCUCCCUGGCUUCUCUGGCCCACGCUGCCAACAAGGCUCUGGACAUGGCAUAGCAGAGUCCGACUGGCAUCUUGAGGGCAGCGGGGGCAAUGAUGCCCCUGGGCAGUACGGAGCCUAUUUCCACGAUGAUGGCUUCCUCGCUUUCCCCGGCCGUAUCUUCUCCAGGAGCCUGCCCGAGGUGCCCGAGACCAUCGAGCUGGAGGUUCGGACCAGCACAGCCAAUGGCCUCCUGCUCUGGCAGGGUGUGGAGGUGGGAGAGGCCGGCCGAGGCAAGGACUUCAUCAGCCUCGGGCUUCAAGACGGGCACCUUGUCUUCAGGUACCAGCUGGGUAGUGGGGAGGCCCGCCUGGUCUCUGAGGACCCCAUCAAUGACGGCGAGUGGCACCGGGUGACAGCGCUGCGGGAGGGCCGCAGAGGUUCCAUCCAAGUCGACGGUGAGGAGCUGGUCAGUGGCCGGUCCCCAGGUCCCAACGUGGCAGUCAACGCCAAGGGCAGCAUCUACAUUGGCGGAGCCCCUGACGUGGCCACGCUGACCGGGGGCAGGUUCUCCUCGGGCAUCACAGGCUGUGUCAAGAACCUGGUGCUGCACUCGGCCCGCCCCAGUGCCCCGCCCCCACAGCCCCUGGACCUGCAGCACCGUGCCCAGGCUGGGGCCAACACACGCCCCUGCCCCUCGUAGGCACCUGCCUGCCCCACAUGGACUCCCGGGCCGCACCCCAGCCCGACAAUGUCGAGUAUAUUAUUAUUAAUAUUAUUAUGAAUUUUUGUAAGAAACUGAGGCGAUGCCACGCUUUGCUGCUACCGCCCUGGGCUGGACUGGAGGUGGGCAUGCCACCCCCACACACACAGCUGGGCAAAGCCACAAGGCUGGCCGGCAAGGCAGGUUGGAUGGGAGUGGGCGCCUCAGAAAGCCACCAGGACUUGGGGUCAGGAACGGUGGCUGGGUGGGCCCAGAACUGCCCCCACUGUCCCCCCUACCCACCGAUGGAGCCCCCGGAUAGAGCUGGGUGGCCUGUUUCUGCAGCCCUUGGGCAGUUCUCACUCCUAGGAGAGCCAGCCUCGGCUUGUGGGCUGGUGCCCCACAGCUACCUGAGACGGGCAUCGCAGGAGUCUCUGCCACCCACUCAGGAUUGGGAAUUGUCUUUAGUGCUGGCUGUGGAGCAAAAGGCAGCUCACCCGUGGGCAGAUGGUCCGCAUCCCCACCAGCUCUUUUUUCAGCACCCCCACCCACCUCCACCCAGCCCCUGGCACCUCCUCUGGCAGCCUCCCCCUCCUACCACACCCUCCUGGCCUGCAUUCCCACCCCCUCCUGCCAGCACACAGCCUGGGGUCCCUCCCUCAGGGGCUGUAAGGGAAGGCCCACCCCAACUCUUACCAGGAGCUGCUACAGGCAGAGCCCAGCACUGAUAGGGCCCCGCCCACCGGGCCCCGCCCACCCCAGGCCACCUCCCCACCCAUCUGGAAGUGAAGGCCCAGGGACUCCUCGGACGUACAGACGCCGCUGGUGCUCAGGAAGAGCUAGUGCCUUAGGUGGGGGAAGGCAGGACUCACGACUGAGAGAGAGAGGAAGGGGAUAUGACCACCCUGCCCCAUCUGCGGGAGCCUGAAGAUCCAAGAGCCAUCCUGCCAGUGGCCCCCAGACUGUGGGGUUGGGACGGCUGGCCUCUGUGUCCUAGAAGGGACCCUCCUGUGGUCUUUGUCUUGAUUUUUCUUAAUAAACGGUGCUAUCCCCGCC